rnacentral:rRNA from 1 species
AAUAUUUCGCAAUGGAGGGAACUCUGACGCAGCGACGCCGCGUGAGCGAUGAAGGUUUUCGGGUCGUACAGCGCUGUCUUUGGGGAAGAAGGUCUUCGGACUUGACGGUACCUAAGGAGGAAGCCCCCGCUAACUACGUGCCAGCAGCCGCGGUAAUACGUAGGGGGCAAGCGUUGUCCGGAAUUAUUGGGCGUACAGGGUGCGUAGGCGGCCUUUUAAGUCAGGUGUGAAAGACCACGGCUUAACCGUGGGAUUGCACUUGAAACUGGAAGGCUUGAGUAUCGGAGAGGGUAGUGGAAUUCCCAGUGUAGCGGUGGAAUGCGUAGAUAUUGGGAGGAACACCAGUGGCGAAGGCGACUACCUGGACGAAAACUGACGCUGAGGCACGAAAGCUAGGGGAGCAAACA